AAUUCAUAGUGCCAAAGCAAGAUCAUCAGGAGUAUAUUUUCAGAAGAAAAAAGGUGCAUUAUACAUCAAAUUCACUGCACAAUGAUUAGGAUCCAUGCCCGCUCGUACAUAUUACAAGUAUGUUAUCUCUCAUUCGGAUACUUCUGUUGAAAGUCCGAGCUCCACUUUUGCGAGACCUUAAAAGCAAAACUUCUUUUUCUGCAUAACAAACCAGCAGAGAUACAAAUCAAUAUUGAAUCUUAAAAUUCUAACACAACCACACAUGAAUGCACAAACAUAUCCCACAGAAAAAGGUGCACAAGCAAUACUGCUCGAAACCUUGUCUAUUCUUUUUUCUUUUCUUUUUUUUUGAAAAGGUAACGUAAACCUUGUAUAUUCUUAACUUAUUAGUUUAUAUGCACCAACGCAUUUUCUCAGAAGUUUCCAAUACUAUAUCGACUUCCAAUCCUGCUUAGGUUCACUCAUUACUUGAUGUUGUCGAACUACCAAAAAAAGCUGGAAACUCACCUGAAACUUUGCAGCUUUCGCAGCUUCUUGACCGUCAAUGUACGCAAGAAGUUCCUCUUGUCUCAUCAAAGCCUCAUGCAAAGCCUGUUUCGAAAAUAAGGAAUAUUAUCAACUCAAUAACCAUGAAAAAGAGGUAUGUGACAUUUAGAUGCUAUUAUUGUCAGCAACCCAACAUUAUAUGUAUUGAAUGCUUGCCGAGGUAUGUGGUAUGCAGAUGCUGUUAUUCUCAGCAGUAAUAUGCAAUGAAAUGCUUGCUGAAACAAGUCAUAAGUUUGACGACGACUUAUCACCAUAAUUAUGGAAUAUUAAUUUAAGUUGCAAG
rnacentral:lncRNA from 1 species